rnacentral:rRNA from 1 species
CGUAGGGUGCGAGCGUUGUCCGGAAUUAUUGGGCGUAAAGAGCUCGUAGGCGGUUUGUUGCGUCGGCCGUGAAAACUUGGGGCUUAACCCCGAGCCUGCGGUCGAUACGGGCAGACUUGAGUUCGGCAGGGGAGACUGGAAUUCCUGGUGUAGCGGUGAAAUGCGCAGAUAUCAGGAGGAACACCGGUGGCGAAGGCGGGUCUCUGGGCCGAUACUGACGCUGAGGAGCGAAAGCGUGGGGAGCGAACAGGAUUAGAUACCCUGGUAGUCCACGCCGUAAACGGUGGGUGCUAGGUGUGGGGGGCUUCCACGUCCUCCGUGCCGCAGCUAACGCAUUAAGCACCCCGCCUGGGGAGUACGGCCGCAAGGCUA